AUGGCUCAGUGAGGCUUUCGGACUGGCCCAGGGAGGUCGGCAACGACCACCCAGGGCCGGAAAGUUAUCCAAACUCGGUCAUUUAGAGGAAGUAAAAGUCGUAACAAGGUCUCCGUUGGUGAACCAGCGGAGGGAUCAUU
rnacentral:rRNA from 2 species